rnacentral:tRNA from 1 species
GGAGAGGUCGCCUAGCUUGGUCGAGGGCGCAUGAUUGGAAAUCAUGUAAGCUGCAAGGCUUCGAGGGUUCGAAUCCCUCUCUCUCCGCCA